CUAAGUUUGAUGGCGACCGGCGCACGGGUGAGUAACACGUAUCCAACCUGCCGAUGACUCGGGAAUAGCCUUUCGAAAGAAAGAUUAAUACCCGAUGGCAUAGUUCUUCCGCAUGGUAGAACUAUUAAAGAAUUUCGGUCAUCGAUGGGGAUGCGUUCCAUUAGGUUGUUGGCGGGGUAACGGCCCACCAAGCCUUCGAUGGAUAGGGGUUCUGAGAGGAAGGUCCCCCACAUUGGAACUGAGACACGGUCCAAACUCCUACGGGAGGCAGCAUG
rnacentral:rRNA from 1 species